rnacentral:rRNA from 1 species
UGGGGAAUUUUGGACAAUGGGGGCAACCCUGAUCCAGCCAUCCCGCGUGUGCGAUGAAGGCCUUCGGGUUGUAAAGCACUUUUGGCAGGGAAGAAACGGCGCGGGCUAAUAACCUGUGCUAAUGACGGUACCUGCAGAAUAAGCACCGGCUAACUACGUGCCAGCAGCCGCGGUAAUACGUAGGGUGCAAGCGUUAAUCGGAAUUACUGGGCGUAAAGCGUGCGCAGGCGGUUCGGAAAGAAAGGUGUGAAAUCCCAGGGCUUAACCUUGGAACUGCACUUUUAACUACCGGGCUAGAGUACGUCAGAGGGGGGUAGAAUUCCACGUGUCGCAGUGAAAUGCGUAGAGAUGUGGAGGAAUACCGAUGGCGAAGGCAGCCCCCUGGGAUGAUACUGACGCUCAUGCACGAAAGCGUGGGGAGCAAACA